AUUGCAAUUACGAAAUCUAUGAGUAUUUAUCGGUAUAUAUAUUUAGCGGUAGGCAGCGGCUUGGCUCUGCCCCUGGCAUUGCUGAAGUCCAUGGGCGACGGUAACCACUCACCAUCAGGUGGGCCGUAUACUCGUCUGCCUACAAGGGCAAUAAAAAAAAAGAAAGAGUAACGAUUAAUAAUUAGAAAAUAAGUAUGCAUUUAAACUACAAAGAAACAGGAAAACUGUUAACCGUAACAAGAAUCGCGUUUGAUUUAGAAUAAAGAUUACAUCAUUUAAGGUUUUUUUAAAUACAUAUACUUAUUCUGCUAUCGAAAAAUAUGAAAUAUUUAUCGUCUACUUAAUCAAUAUCAAUAACAUAAUCUACAAUUUAACACAAUACGAUUGCUCACUAUCCCUCUAUCUACUAGUCGACAAACGUUUUUACAUUCGUACGACUUCGAUCAACAAUAGUAACUAGAUUUCGGGUCGUGCAUAAAAUCCGUCUCGUCAAAUAACAGCGCACUUGAAAUGUGAGCUCUUAUUUUGUUUAGUUCACUUCAAACACAGCCAAUGUCAACCCGUCUCACAAUACCGCAGUGUGUAUUCAAAAGUUGCAAAAAUAAGGCCCGAAAAAGCAAUUUAACGGCCGGAGUAUCUUACUUUCGCUUUCCUAGCAAUCACGUGUGCAGAAUGGAUUUCGAUUGUCGCCAGAGAAACAAGAGAUGACUUUUAUAAGCCAGCUAAGAACUCCGCUUAUUGACACUGGACAUCUUUGCCUUCCGUGCUCACGGCUACUGAAAUGUGGCCGAAACAUUGUAAUAAAAAUACCACGCUUGAAACCGUUUCAACGUUGUUUUAUUAUGUGCACUGGUCGCGAAAACUUAAAAAUAUAUAUUACACAAAAACGUAACGCUAAUAAAAUAAUAAGUAAUGUAUAGAUACUAACAAACAUACAUUUCCAAAAAAUAAAAAGUAAACAACUAAA